GGCUGCGUGGCGCAGUGGUAGAGCGCUAGACUUUGGGGAGUGAGGUCCGGGGUUCGAACCCACCUGGGGUCA